UACGAAGGGGGCUAGCGUUGCUCGGAAUGACUGGGCGUAAAGGGCGCGUAGGCGGUUUGGUCAGUUAGAUGUGAAAUUCCUGGGCUUAACCUGGGGGCUGCAUUUAAUACGGCCAGGCUUGAGUGUGAAAGAGGGUCGUGGAAUUCCCAGUGUAGAGGUGAAAUUCGUAGAUAUUGGGAAGAACACCGGUGGCGAAGGCGGCGACCUGGUUCAUUACUGACGCUGAGGCGCGAAAGCGUGGGGAGCAAACAGG
rnacentral:rRNA from 1 species